GCGAAUACCGGAGAAUGUUAUCACGGGAGACACACGGCGGGUGCUAACGUCCGUCGUGAAGAGGGAAACAACCCAGACCGCCAGCUAAGGUCCCAAAGUCAUGGUUAAGUGGGAAACGAUGUGGGAAGGCCCAGACAGCCAGGAUGUUGGCUUAGAAGCAGCCAUCAUUUAAAGAAAGCGUAAUAGCUCACUGGUCGAGUCGGCCUGCGCGGAAGAUGUAACGGGGCUAAACCAUGCACCGAAGCUGCGGCAGCGACACUGUGUGUUGUUGGGUA
rnacentral:rRNA from 1 species